UACAGAGGGGGCAAGCGUUGUUCGGAACUACUGGGCGUAAAGGGCGCGUAGGCGGCCUUCUAAGUCGAACGUGAAAUCCCCGGGCUCAACCCGGGAACUGCGUCCGAUACUGGAAGGCUUGAAUCCGGGAGAGGGAUGUGGAAUUCCAGGUGUAGCGGUGAAAUGCGUAGAUAUCUGGAGGAACACCGGUGGCGAAGGCGACAUCCUGGACCGGUAUUGACGCUGAGGCGCGAAAGCCAGGGGAGCAAAGCGGG
rnacentral:rRNA from 1 species